rnacentral:rRNA from 1 species
GGCGGCGCGCUUAACACAUGCAAGUCGCACGAGAAAGGGAGCAAUCCUAAGUAAAGUGGCGCACGGGUGAGUAACACGUGGAUCAUCUACCUUUUAGUGGGGAAUACCCCUGGGAAACCGGGGAUAAUACCGCAUAAGCUCGUAAGAGGAAAGCAGCAAUGCGCUGAAAGAGGAGUCCGCGGCUGAUUAGCUAGUUGGCGGGGUAACGGCCCACCAAGGCGAAGAUCGGUAGCCGGCCUGAGAGGGCACACGGCCACACUGGCACUGAAACACGGGCCAGACUCCUACGGGAGGCAGCAGUGGGGAAUCUUGCACAAUGGGGGCAACCCUGAUGCAGCGACGCCGCGUGAGCGAUGAAGCCCUUCGGGGUGUAAAGCUCUUUCGACGGGAACGAUAAUGACGGUACCCGAAGAAGAAGCUGCGGCUAACUACGUGCCAGCAGCCGCGGUAAUACGU